rnacentral:rRNA from 1 species
GAUGAACGCUAGCUACAGGCUUAACACAUGCAAGUCGAGGGUCCGGCCCUCGUUUCAGUAACACGUAUCCAACCUGCCCUUUACUCGGGGAUAGCCUUUCGAAAUAAAGAUUAAUACCCUAUGUAAAGGAUCGGUAUGCGUUCCAUUAGGUUUUUGGUGAGGUAACGGCUCACCAAGCCUUCGAUGGAUAGGGGUUCUGAGAGUAAGGUCCCCCCCAUUGGAACUGAGACACGGUCCAAACUCCUACGGGAGGCAGCAGUGAGGAAUAUUGGUCACUGGGCGUUAGCCUGAACCAGCCAAGUAGCGUGAAGGAUGAAGGCUUAUGGGUCGUAAACUUCUUUUAUAUAAGAAUAGGUAUUAUAAGAAUAAGGAUCGGCUAACUCCGUGCCAGCAGCCGCGGUAAUAG